AACCACUGAUGACUUCCUUUUUAUUUUUCUGACACCUCGUAUGAGCGCUGCCCGGCAGUGCCUGAUUAUAACUUGCACUCUGAGGUUC